GACGAACGCUGGCGGCGUGCCUAAUACAUGCAAGUCGAGCGAAUCACUAGGAGCUUGCUCCUGGUGGUUAGCGGCGGACGGGUGAGUAACACGUGGGCAACCUGCCUGUAAGACUGGGAUAACACCGGGAAACCGGUGCUAAUACCGGAUAAUCCUUUUCCUCUCAUGAGGAAAAGCUGAAAGUCGGUUUCGGCUGACGCUUACAGAUGGGCCCGCGGCGCAUUAGCUAGUUGGUGAGGUAACGGCUCACCAAGGCGACGAUGCGUAGCCGACCUGAGAGGGUGAUCGGCCACACUGGGACUGAGACACGGCCCAGACUCCUACGGGAGGCAGCAGUAGGGAAUCUUCCACAAUGGACGAAAGUCUGAUGGAGCAACGCCGCGUGAGCGAUGAAGGCCUUCGGGUCGUAAAGCUCUGUUGUUAGGGAAGAACAAGUACCGGAGUAACUGCCGGUACCCUGACGGUACCUAACCAGAAAGCCACGGCUAACUACGUGCCAGCCGCCGCCGUAAAAC
rnacentral:rRNA from 1 species